rnacentral:rRNA from 1 species
AUGGACCCCUACAAGUACCGGCCGUCGAGCUCCUUCAACGCCCCGAUGUGGAGCACCAACUCCGGCGCGCCCGUCUGGAACAACGACAACUCCCUCACCGUCGGAUCCCGAGGUCCCAUCCUGCUGGAGGACUACCACCUGGUGGAGAAGAUCGCCGACUUCGACCGCGAGCGCAUCCCGGAGCGGGUGGUGCACGCGCGUGGCGCCAGCGCCAAGGGCUUCUUCGAGGUGACCCACGACGUGUCCCACCUGACCUGCGCCGACUUCCUCCGCGCCCCCGGCGUGCAGACCCCCGUCAUCGUGCGCUUCUCCACCGUGAUCCACGAGCGCGGCUCCCCCGAGACGCUCCGCGACCCGCGCGGCUUCGCCAUCAAGUUCUACACCCGGGAGGGCAACUGGGACCUGGUCGGCAACAACUUCCCCGUCUUCUUCAUCCGCGACGGCAUGAAGUUCCCGGACAUGGUGCACGCGCUCAAGCCCAACCCCAAGACCCACAUCCAGGAGAACUGGCGCAUCCUCGACUUCUUCUCCCACCACCCGGAGUCGCUCCACAUGUUCACCUUCCUCUUCGACGACAUCGGCGUGCCCGCCGACUACCGCCACAUGGACGGCUCCGGCGUCAACACCUACACGCUCGUCAACCGCGCCGGCAAGGCGCACUACGUCAAGUUCCACUGGAAGCCCACCUGCGGCGUCAAGUCGCUCCUCGAGGAGGAGGCGGUCACGGUGGGCGGCACCAACCACAGCCACGCCACCAAGGACCUGACCGACUCCAUCGCCGCCGGCAACUACCCGGAGUGGACCUUCUACAUCCAGACCAUCGACCCGGACCACGAGGACCGCUUCGACUUUGACCCGCUGGACGUGACCAAGACGUGGCCCGAGGACGUGGUGCCGCUGCAGCCGGUGGGGCGGCUGGUGCUCAACCGCAACAUCGACAACUUCUUCGCGGAGAACGAGCAGCUGGCCUUCUGCCCCGGGAUCAUCGUCCCCGGGGUGUACUACUCGGACGACAAGCUGCUGCAGACGAGGAUCUUCUCCUACUCGGACACGCAGCGCCACCGCCUGGGGCCCAACUACCUGCUGCUGCCGGCCAAUGCGCCCAAGUGCUCCCACCACAACAACCACUACGACGGGCUCAUGAACUUCAUGCACCGCGACGAGGAGGUCGACUACUUCCCCUCCAGGUUCGACCCCGCCAAGCACGCGCCCCGCUACCCCAUCCCCUCGCGCACCCUCAACGGCCGCCGCGAGAAGAUGGUGAUCGAGAAGGAGAACAACUUCAAGCAGCCCGGGGAGAGGUACCGCUCCAUGGACCCGGCAAGGCAAGAGCGAUUCAUCAACAGAUGGAUCGAUGCGCUGUCCGACCCCCGCCUCACCCACGAGAUCAAGGCCAUCUGGCUCUCCUACUGGUCUCAGGCUGACAAGUCUCUCGGCCAGAAGCUCGCGAGCCGUCUCAGCUCGAAGCCGAGCAUGUAA